rnacentral:misc_RNA from 1 species
UUUCCGUAGGUGAACCUGCGGAAGGAUCAUUACUGAGUGAGGGCCCCUCGGGGUCCAACCUCCCACCCGUGUUUAACGAACCUUGUUGCUUCGGCGGGCCCGCCUCACGGCCGCCGGGGGGCAUUUGCCCCCGGGCCCGUGCCCGCCGAAGCCACCUGUGAACGCUGUCUGAAGUAUGCAGUCUGAGACAAUUAUUAAAUUAAUUAAAACUUUCAACAACGGAUCUCUUGGUUCCG